CACAGCACAGCACAGCACAGCACAGUAGAACAGGGACACCACUCUACAACUCACUUACUAUAUAACUGUGCAACUAUACUUAAGCAUUACUAUACUUACACUUAGUUCAACAUUACUAUACUUUAUACUUAGUUUACUCGUUACUAUACUUUAUACUAAGUUUACUCAUUACUAUACUUACACCAAAUUCAACAAUAGUAGUGGCAUGAAUGACCACAUGUAGUGUUCACCCUGCACAUAUGAACAUAUGAAUAUGCGCGUCUUCUCUUCAGAAAGCAACCUUUCCAGGUAGUCAAACUUUGUAAAAUUGUGUCCAACUAUUCAUCGUUAGUUAUGUAUGAGUAAGGUUCAGUUUGGAUUUAGCAUGUUGUACAUACGUCGUCCAUUUAUUAUAGGCUUGCAUGGAUAAUCUUAUACAUAUAAACAAGCGUCGCCUUGUAUGCAGGCCUAAAACAAAAAAGGAAAGUCAAAAUAUGAGAAACCUAUGCGGGAAAGAAUUUAAGUCGAGGUGCAUACUUGAACGUCACAUUGCCACCCAUACGACGGAGAUGACUUGCACGUGUUCCAUUUGCUGGAAAAGUUGCGCGGGAACGGGGACUUUGAAGGACCAUAAGCUAACUCAUCUAGGAAAAUCGGCGCGUCCCAAAUUUCCAUGCAAUCUAUGCCCCCGGUUAUUCCUAAGUAAAUCAUGGUUGCUUUUCCAUAUCCGAAAUGUACACGAAAAUAAGCGCAAUUAAGCGUGCACAUUUUGUGACAAGAAGUUCGCGGCUGCGAGAGAUUUAAAACGUCACGUGGUCGGGCUACCCGCCGACAAGGAAUUGAUUUAUUCUUAGAAUAAGUGCGAGUAUAGGAGUCACUCGAAAUAUAAUUAGCGUCGCACCAGCGGCGACAUGUUGGUAAGCCCUCGUGUUACUUCUGCGGAGAAAAAUUUUCAAAUUUGUUUAGGCACAUGAUCGGAAGACAUAUUAUGGAGAAAUAGAUAGAUAAAAGUUGGGUAAACUGGGUAGAAAGUUAUUAUCAUUUGGUUGGCAUUGGCAACUCGGCAACAUUGCCAACACGUUAAUAUAUAAAUGAUAACCAAAAUAUAUUUACCCAUCAGAGUAAACACAUAUUUCAUUUUGUUCAACACAAUUAAAUGCACGAAUCAUUUAAAUAUUUGCGUGUGAAUUGUGGUGAAUUAUGAAACACCUGUUCAUUAAAAUAUAUAAUUUUUUUACACAAAGGAAAUCCACCAAGUUGUCUUUUCAUCAUCGAAUAAUUGACUCCAUUACUGUGAACAUUUGUUAUGGUAGUGUGGAUUUUAUUCAGCAUAGGAAAAAAUAAUCUCCAUCCGAUAGUUUUAAAGUAAAUGCUUCGGUAAUUUGCAUACAAACGGGCAUAAAAGAUUUGUGAUGUUUUCCAAACUUUUGUACAUAUGAUUUAGAGCAUAGCACGAAUCUGAAUCAUGAUUCAGAUUCCAAUCUCGAAUUUGAAUUGGAAUCUCGGUAGGAAGGAUUCAGGCUGAAUCCGAAUUCAGGGAAGACGGGUUCGAAUCUACAUGAAUCUUGAUCCAGAUGAAUUUUAAUCUAGGAGCACGGAUGUUACCAAUCCAUUAAUAAGAUUUAACUAAAAUAAUUAGUCAAACUGGAUUCGAUUUAACUAUUCACUUUAAAUUUUCACCAUUCAUCAUUUUUCAUCAUUCAUCUUUCAUCAUUGGGGGUUUUGUUCGCAUUCGGUCCAGUUUUUCCGGAUUCAUCCGGCUGAAAGGUAUCAGAAUCCUUUCAGCUUUGGAUUCGAAUCCACCUGAAUCAGGACUAAUUUGAAUCUGAAUACCGAUUUUUGGGAUUUAUGCGAUGCAUAUAUGUAAGCAUGCGUUCAGCGUAUGUAGUAUGUACAUACAUGCAUACCUAUUCAUGAAUUAUGUUUGAAGAUACAACAUUUUAAUUGAGAACAUACAUAUUUGCAUAUUUAUAAUUCUUAACUUUAUUAAUGUGGUGUUUUCUAAAGAAUAAGUGACACAUUUGUAGUAGAAUUUUUUCUGCUAGUCACCUCAUUUGCAUAUUUUGAUGCAUUCGCGAGAGACAUAGAGUUUACUUAACAUUGAAACCCCGUAUCGCCGAAAUGGGUAUCAUGAGAUUUAUACAAAUGAGGUGACCCGCAACAAUAAUUUUAGAGUACAUGUGUAAUUAUUGCACAAGAUUUAGCACGACGCUUAAUAACACGAGUAAUGAGAAAUAAUUAAUCAGUACAAUUAUGAGUAAUACAUUAAAAGUUCAGCGUGCAAAGCUAAUCAUAAUCAUGAUGCAUUAUCAUGUCAAAUUUUGAAGGACAAAUUUCGAAUAAAAAAAUAAUGCACAAUAUGGUCAAUUAUCUAGAAGCCAGUCAGCCAAAUAAAAGAUGAAAUGUGAAUACGUCAAUG